CCUGGGGCUAGCCAGCUCAGGAGGUGGGGAAGGCUGAGUUCAUGCUGACCUAAUUUAGAGGAUAACCUGCUUCAUGUGUGGUGGUUUGUUCGUUUGGUUUUGUGGUUGCUGAGGAGGCUGAAGAAUGAAGAGGGUACAGGGAGGAGCCAGGUAGUAGCAGAGCUGAGAUCAGAGAAGGAAAAAGAGCCUGAAGAAGUGGGGCUUUUCUUAAGAUUGCUGCUGAACUCCUUGGCUGUUGGUGCAGAAAUGACCCCUCCAAGGGAUGCAGAAAUCCAGUGGGGAUACUUGUUUUCGGCAUAUCAAGUGCAAAUGGAAAAUAAUUACGCCAACGCAGGUGGUUUGAAUUUAUUUGGGUGUGAACUUUGCUCAGUUCAUGAAGGAAAAAGUGCUUGAAUCCAGAAAGUACACAGGCUGUCCUGACUCUGUUUUAGAUCUGAUUUGUGUUGGGUAAACUGAGAUGAAUUGAGUCUUAGUAAGUCUCAGCAGAUCACUGUGUGUUUGUUUGUUAAAUUCAGCUUUUUCUCCAAGCAGCGAGAGAUUUUCUGCCUGAUGAUUCUGUACAGAGCACCGGAAACAGAAGACAGAUGUCAUAUGUUUAUCAAAUGUUUCCAUCACACACACUGGUUUUCCCAUGCUGGCUGGCUUGCAGAUCUCAGGCCCCAAGGCUGGGUUUACACUGCAUGCACAGCAAUGUAUUUGUAGUGUACACAAUCACUUAUAGA